rnacentral:rRNA from 1 species
CCUACGGGAGGCUGCAGUGGGGAAUAUUGCACAAUGGGCGCAAGCCUGAUGCAGCCAUGCCGCGUGUGUGAAGAAGGCCUUCGGGUUGUAAAGCACUUUCAGCGGGGAGGAAGGCGGUGAGGUUAAUAACCUCAUCGAUUGACGUUACCCGCAGAAGAAGCACCGGCUAACUCCGUGCCAGCAGCCGCGGUAAUACGGAGGGUGCAAGCGUUAAUCGGAAUUACUGGGCGUGAAGCGCACGCAGGCGGUCUGCCAAGUCGGAUGUGAAAUCCCCGGGCUCAACCUGGGAACUGCAUUCGAAACUGGCAGGCUAGAGUCUUGUAGAGGGGGGUAGAAUUCCAGGUGUAGCGGUGAAAUGCGUAGAGAUCUGGAGGAAUACCGGUGGCGAAGGCGGCCCCCUGGACAAAGACUGACGCUCAGGUGCGAAAGCGUGGGGAGCAAACAGGAUUAGAUACCCGUGUAGUC